rnacentral:rRNA from 1 species
UACGGAGGGUGCGAGCGUUGUCCGGAAUCACUGGGCGUAAAGGGCGCGUAGGUGGCGCGGGCAGUCAACGGUGAAAGUUCGGGGCUCAACCCUGAAUCGGCCGUCGAUACUCCCGGGCUUGAGCACUGUAGAGGCAGAUGGAAUUCCGGGUGUAGCGGUGGAAUGCAUUGAGAUCGGAAAGAACACCAACGGCGAAAGCACUCUGCUGGGCCGACACUGACACUGAGAGACGAAAGCUAGGGGAGCAAAUGGG